GUGAAGUAUCUCAAUUGGUUAGAGUGUGUGGUUGUUAACCAGAAGCUCAAAAGUUCAAAUCUUUUCUUAAACA
rnacentral:tRNA from 1 species